AGCAGCCGCGGUAAUUCCAGCUCCAAUAGCGUAUAUUAAAGUUGUUGCAGUUAAAAAGCUCGUAGUUGAAUUUCGGGGUUAGCAGGUCGGUCGUGCCAUCGGUAUGAACUGGUCUCGCUGAUCCCUCCCUCUUGACGAACUGUGAUGCCAUUAAUUUGGUGUCGCAGGGAAUCAGGACUGUUACUUUGAAAAAAUUAGAGUGUUUAAAGCAGGCUCACGCUUGAAUACAUUAGCAUGGAAUAAUGAAAUAGGACGUUUGAUCCUAUUUUGUUGGCUUCUAGGAUUGACGUAAUGAUUAAUAGGGAUAGUUGGGGGCAUUAGUAUUCAAUUGUCAGAGGUGAAAUUCUUGGAUUUAUUGAAGACUAACUACUGCGAAAGCAUUUGCCAAGGAUGUUUUCAUUAAUCAAGAACGAAAGUUAGGGGAUCGAAGACGAUCAGAUACCGUCGUAGUCUUAACCAUAAACUAUGCCGACUAGGGAUCGGAUGAUGUUAAUUUUUUAAUGACUCAUUCGGCACCUUA
rnacentral:rRNA from 1 species